GGCGGAGGCCGGGGUCGUGGAAUGAGA
rnacentral:piRNA from 1 species